rfam:Triticum aestivum genome assembly, contig: Triticum_aestivum_CS42_TGACv1_scaffold_019069_1AS
AUAACUUUCUCGGCCUCUUGGCUAAGAUCAAAUGUAGUAUCUGUUCUUAUCAGUUUAAUAUCUGAUACAUGGAUCUACGGAUCCAUGAUAUAUUAAGUUAACUUUUUUGUGGGGGAGAAUCCACCUGUUGGCGGUUCUCACGCGUUGUCCAAGUGCUGCACUACUGCUUGGAACAGGCGCACCCCAA